GACGAACGCGGCGGCGUGCCUAAUACAUGCAAGUAGAACGCUGAAGGAGGAGCUUGCUCUUCUGGAUGAGUUGCGAACGGGUGAGUAACGCGUAGGUAACCUGCCUGGUAGCGGGGGAUAACUAUUGGAAACGAUAGCUAAUACCGCAUAAUAGUAGAUGUUGCAUGACAUUUGCUUAAAAGGUGCAAUUGCAUCACUACCAGAUGGACCUGCGUUGUAUUAGCUAGUUGGUGAGGUAACGGCUCACCAAGGCAACGAUACAUAGCCGACCUGAGAGGGUGAUCGGCCACACUGGGACUGAGACACGGCCCAGACUCCUACGGGAGGCAGCAGUAGGGAAUCUUCGGCAAUGGACGGAAGUCUGACCGAGCAACGCCGCGUGAGUGAAGAAGGUUUUCGGAUCGUAAAGCUCUGUUGUAAGAGAAGAACGAGUGUGAGAGUGGAAAGUCACACUGUGA
rnacentral:rRNA from 1 species